CAAUACAUUCAUAAAAUCGGUGCAGCACGCUUGGACACACUUAUACCUGUUCCGUGUUCAAAAUCCACACAACAUCUGGGCACCCAAUAUCUAUAAAAACGUAGCGUGUUUCAUAAGACGUUAAUACCCACCUUUAAAAUUUAAACUGAGUGCCGUUUAGCUUAUUUCGACCGUCCAUACUUCAAAUUUAAAGAUACCUAACACUUCGGGUUCAGUUAGAUACGAACCAGAAUGCAGCACAGAUAUUUUAUCAACUCCUUAUCCCGUUGUAACGAGCCCAACGUAAGGAUGAAGACUUGGAGGGAAAACGUUGAAAUAAAUCAAAACUUCAACUUGAGUUAUAAUAAUAGAUUGAUAUUUACAAUAAAAAUACAAGUCCAAUAAUAAUAAUCUUCGCAAAAUAU